UACGAGUGCCCCGAGCGUUAUCCGGAAUCAUUGGGCGUAAAGGGUGCGUAGGCGGGUCUUUAAGUCAGGGGUGAAAUCCUGGAGCUCAACUCCAGAACUGCCUUUGAUACUGAGGAUCUUGAGUACGGGAGAGGUGAGUGGAACUGCGAGUGUAGAGGUGAAAUUCGUAGAUAUCAAGCAGAACACCUGCGGCGAAGGCGGCCUUCUGGACGAUGACUGACGCUGAGACGCGAAAGCGUGGGGAGCAAACAGG
rnacentral:rRNA from 1 species